ensembl:snRNA U6 U6 spliceosomal RNA
UGCUUGCUUCAGCAGCACUACACUAAAACUGGAAGGAUACAGAGAAGAAUAGCAUUGCCCCUACACAAGGAUGACAUGCAAAUUCAUGAAACAUUCCAUAUUAAA